AAUGAAAGACACGGGUAGUGAGAUAAGCUAUAUAUCAUCUCAUUGCCAAUGUCUUUUAAACG
rnacentral:pre_miRNA from 1 species